GAAGGGAUAAAAAGUUGAAAAGUAGAGUUUUCGUGUGAAUUUUGCUGAUCUGAGGCGAAGCUGAGGUCA